rnacentral:rRNA from 1 species
UACAGAGGUCCCAAGCGUUGUUCGGAUUCACUGGGCGUAAAGGGUGCGUAGGCGGUCGGGUAAGUCUGGCGUGAAAUCUCCGAGCCUAACUCGGAAACUGCGUUGGAUACUAUCCGGCUUGAGGAAUGGAGGGGAGACUGGAAUACUUGGUGUAGCAGUGAAAUGCGUAGAUAUCAAGUGGAACACCAGUGGCGAAGGCGAGUCUCUGGACAUUUCCUGACGCUGAGGCACGAAAGCCAGGGGAGCAAACGGG